AGUGAACGCUGGCGGUAGGCCUAACACAUGCAAGUCGAACGGCAGCACAGUAAGAGCUUGCUCUUACGGGUGGCGAGUGGCGGACGGGUGAGGAAUACAUCGGAAUCUACUUUUUCGUGGGGGAUAACGUAGGGAAACUUACGCUAAUACCUCAUACGACCUACGGGUGAAAGCAGGGGAUCUUCGGACCUUGCGCGAUUGAAGGAGCCGAUGUCGGAUUAGCUAGUUGGCGGGGUAAAGGCCCACCAAGGCGACGAUCCGUAGCUGGUCUGAGAGGAUGAUCAGCCACACUGGAACUGAGACACGGUCCAGACUCCUACGGGAGGCAGCAGUGGGGAAUAUUGGACAAUGGGCGCAAGCCUGAUCCAGCCAUACCGCGUGGGUGAAGAAGGCCUUCGGGUUGUAAAGCCCUUUUGUUGGGAAAGAAAAGCAGCAGGUUAAUACCCCGCUGUUCUGACGGUACCCAAAGAAUAAGCACCGGCUAACUUCGUG
rnacentral:rRNA from 1 species